rnacentral:tRNA from 1 species
GUUCUUGUAGUUGAAGUACAGCAGUAGUUUUUCGGAUUAUUGGUUCAGGUUAGAGUCCUGGCAGGAAUA